rnacentral:rRNA from 1 species
AUUGAACGCUGGCGGCAUGCUUUACACAUGCAAGUCGAACGGUAACGGGCCGCAAGGUGCUGACGAGUGGCGAACGGGUGAGUAAUGCAUCGGAACGUGCCCAGUCGUGGGGGAUAACGCAGCGAAAGCUGUGCUAAUACCGCAUACGAUCUGUGGAUGAAAGCGGGGGACCGAAAGGCCUCGCGCGAUUGGAGCGGCCGAUGUCAGAUUAGGUAGUUGGUGGGGUAAAGGCUCACCAAGCCAACGAUCUGUAGCUGGUCUGAGAGGACGACCAGCCACACUGGGACUGAGACACGGCCCAGACUCCUACGGGAGGCAGCAGUGGGGAAUUUUGGACAAUGGGCGCAAGCCUGAUCCAGCAAUGCCGCGUGCAGGAAGAAGGCCUUCGGGUUGUAAACUGCUUUUGUACGGAGCGAAAAGGCUCUCUCUAAUACAGGGGGCUCAUGACGGUACCGUAAGAAUAAGCACCGGCUAACUACGUGCCAGCAGCCGCGGUAAUAC